rnacentral:rRNA from 1 species
UACGGAGGGCGCGAGCGUUAAUCGGAAUUACUGGGCGUAAAGCGCGCGUAGGCGGCUUUGUAAGUCGGGCGUGAAAGCCCUCGGCUCAACCGAGGAACUGCGUUCGAUACUGCAAGGCUUGAGUCCUGGAGAGGGUGGCGGAAUUCCGGGUGUAGGAGUGAAAUCCGUAGAGAUCCGGAGGAACACCGGUGGCGAAGGCGGCCACCUGGACAGGUACUGACGCUGAGGCGCGAAAGCGUGGGGAGCAAACAGG